rnacentral:rRNA from 1 species
UUGAACGCUGGCGGCAUGCUUUACACAUGCAAGUCGAACGGCAGCGCGGGCUUCGGCCUGGCGGCGAGUGGCGAACGGGUGAGUAAUGCAUCGGAACGUGCCCAGUAGUGGGGGAUAGCCCGGCGAAAGCCGGAUUAAUACCGCAUACGACCUGAGGGUGAAAGCGGGGGACCGAAAGGCCUCGCGCUAUUGGAGCGGCCGAUGUCGGAUUAGCUAGUUGGUGGGGUAAAGGCUUACCAAGGCGACGAUCCGUAGCUGGUCUGAGAGGACGACCAGCCACACUGGGACUGAGACACGGCCCAGACUCCUACGGGAGGCAGCAGUGGGGAAUUUUGGACAAUGGGGGCAACCCUGAUCCAGCCAUGCCGCGUGAGGGAAGAAGGCCUUCGGGUUGUAAACCGCUUUUGUUCGGGAAGAAAUCCUCUGGGCUAAUACCCCGGGGGGAUGACGGUACCGGAAGAAUAAGCACCGGCUAACUACGUG